GUUCUUGCUCACUCGUCUGAGUUUAAAGCUUUUGAGAUAUCUUGGGGUAGGCUACAGAUGGAUGACAAGAUUUCUUGCACUUGGUUGUUAUGCAUUGUUACUUGUACCAGGCUUUUGUCAAGUUGGUUACAACUAUUUCUUCUCCAGUCAGAUAUGCAGAAGUAUUGUUUAUAGCGAUAAACCAAGG